AGAGACUCUCCCUGAUCUAGUAAAGUUAAUGAGGCUUUUACUGAAUUAAACCAACUUGGUGAGCUUUGCUAAAGCUUUGGAGGCUGUCAGAAUUCUACCAGCAAUAGAUACUUGAAGUAUUUGAAAGAAAGAGAAUAAGCAUCUUUUGAAUAAUCAGGAACCACUUUAAAGAAUAUUAAAUGUAUAGGUGAACAGAAUUAAGAAAAUGAAUAAAUAUUUUAAUCAUAAGGCUAAUUUUCAGAGUUUCAAAGUAUAAAAUGCUUUUCUUAUUUUUUUCUUAAGCUUUUUACUAUACUAUUGAUUAAAGAAAAAUAUAAAGAAGAAAGGGGCAAAACAACCUAGCAAUCAAUGCCACAAUUAUUUAAAACCUAAGAGAGCGGGUUGGAGAACAGAGAGAAAAGGAUCGAUACUUUAUAAAGUGACCCUUCUCAAAUGGCAUUUGCACUCAAGAAUGGAAGGGUUGAUUUUACAGUGA
rnacentral:lncRNA from 1 species